GAAGGAAAGCGCCAAACCGGUCGUGAGGCUGGGACGGAAAACCAAGGGUCUUAGUAGGCAGACGAGCAAAAGGGAUUGCUCGCGAAACAAGGAAUAGUGCCUGGAUAAGAUAGCCGGUUACCCUU
rnacentral:ncRNA from 1 species